rnacentral:rRNA from 1 species
GACGAACGCUGGCGGCGCGCCUAACACAUGCAAGUCGAACGAGCAAAGAGGAGCUUGCUUCUCUGAGCGAGUGGCGAACGGGUGAGUAACGCGUGAGGAACCUGCCUCAAAGAGGGGGACAACAGUUGGAAACGACUGCUAAUACCGCAUAAGCCCACGGGUCGGCAUCGACCAGAGGGAAAAGGAGUGAUCCGCUUUGAGAUGGCCUCGCGUCCGAUUAGCUGGUUGGUGAGGUAACGGCCCACCAAGGCGACGAUCGGUAGCCGGACUGAGAGGUUGAACGGCCACAUUGGGACUGAGACACGGCCCAGACUCCUACGGGAGGCAGCAGUGGGGAAUAUUGCACAAUGGGGGAAACCCUGAUGCAGCGACGCCGCGUGGAGGAAGAAGGUCUUCGGAUUGUAAACUCCUGUUGUUGAGGAAGAUAAUGACGGUACUCAACAAGGAAGUGACGGCUAACUACGUG